CAACUGCUUCCGGUUGCAUUGAGGGGGCUUCUACCGGAAAACGUUCGAUUAGCCAUUGUGAAGCUAUGUGCAUUUCUCAAUGCAAUCUCUCAGAAGGUAAUCGAUCCAGAAAUCAUACCAAGGUUACAGAAUAAUUUGGUGCAAUGUCUUGUCAGUUUCGAGUUGGUGUUCCCACCAUCCUUCUUCAACAUCACGAAGCACGUCCUAGUUCACCUAUGCGAAGAGAUUAACGUUUUGGGUCCUGUAUUUCUAGACAAUAUGUUCCCCUUUGAGAGGUUCAUGGGAGUCUUAAAGAAAUAUGUUCAUAACCGUGCUAGGCCAGAAGGAAGCAUCUCCAAGGGCCAUCAAAGUGAGGAGGUCAUUGAGUUUUGUAUUGACUUUAUUCCUGACCUUAAGCCGAUUUGUGUU
rnacentral:rRNA from 1 species